GUCAUACUUUCAGGUGGAAGAAAUGUAACUGAUGAAAUCUUCAUCUCUAAAGAGCACAAGAAGUUGCUUUACUGAAUAAAGCAAGAAAAAUGGGAGCUACUGGUUCAGAUGUGAAAUGAAGAUCUUCCAAUUAAAGGGAGGGUGAUAAGAGGCUGCUGAAUUUAAGAAACAAAGUCAGCCAGGUUUUUCUAAUAUGAGAUAUGAACAGACCAGGUGGUCAUUCCUACCAGGGAGAAGUGAGGGUAAGUGGUUGUCCCGGACAAGGAGGUAAGAAAUACCAGUCUCCAAACAUCCAUGUGUAGAUCAAGUGGUGUGGAUUUGCCUUUCUGGGAGAAGAACUGUGGUGGACUUUACUUGUCAUGGGGAGAGUAUGAAAAGCAGACGCAAGACAAAGCAACAUGGACUUGCCACUUGUUCAAUCCAGGAAUUAGCUGAUCCAUCCUUUUAAGGAGGUAAGAAAUGCAAUACGCCAUUCCCAUAAUAGUAAAUGAUUCUGCUCAUACUUUCAGGUGGAGGAAAUGUAACUGAUGAAAUCUUCAUCUCUAAAGAGCACAAGAAGUUGCUUU